rnacentral:pre_miRNA from 1 species
CAACUACUCCCUCUGUCCCAAAUUUCUUGUCUUAGAUUUGUCUAUAUACGGAUGUAUCUAAUACUAAAAUGUGACUUGAUACAUCCGUAUCUAGACAAAUCUAAGACAAGAAUUUUGGGAGGGAGUACUUU